AAGGUAUUUGCAUACAAAGAAGGUCAAGUCUAAACCCUGUUAUCGGCAAGGCGCCAUAUGCACAACUUUCGUUAGAUUUUUCUUUGUACAAAGUGCUAAGGAUCAUUUUGACAGCGACGGUCUUCUAUCAUCAGAGGUAGCAGGACGUCACAGUGUGGUGAGCUAUACUCCAAGCUGACACUGAAGGGACAAGAAAAUGGACAGCAGAGUUGGGGCAUGUUGGCGCUGUGGUCGUCCGGGCGGUACUAAGUGCACAGGCUGCGAGCUGGCGCUAUACUGUAGCUCGGCAUGUCAGGAGCGAGACAAGGUUCGGCAUCAGGUGGAGUGCAUCAAUUGUGCUACAAAGCACAAAUGUUCAGUCUGCUCAAUGGUUGCGGAAAACGU